AUAAAGUUUUAUGAAAAGAAAAAAAAGUAUCUGUUCUUAUCAGCUUAAUAUCUGAUACGCCUUCCAUCGGAGGGAAUCGAUAUUAAACUGAUUUUUGGAACUGGGUGAGAGAUUUGGAAUAAAUGAAUGAUUAUGGCUUUACGUCACAUCGGCAAUAUUUCAGCCAUAUCGUGGCGAGAACAUGU